rnacentral:rRNA from 1 species
GACGAACGCUGGCGGCGUGCUUAACACAUGCAAGUCGAACGGAAAGGCCCUGCUUUUGGGGGGUGCUCGAGGGGCGAACGGGUGAGUAACACGAGUGUAACCUGCUCUUGACUGUGGGAUAACUUCAGGAAACGGGGGCUAACAGCGGAUAGGAGCUCCUGCCGCAGGGGGUGGGGUGGAGAGUUUCGGCGGUUGGGGAUGGACUCGCGGCAUAUCAGCUUGUUGGUGGGGUAGUGGCUUACCAAGGCUGUGACGGGUAGCCGGCCUGAGAGGGUGACCGGCCACACUGGGACUGAGAUACGGCCCAGACUCCUACGGGAGGCAGCAGUGGGGAAUAUUGCACAAUGGGCGGAAGCCUGAUGCAGCAACGCCGCGUGCGGGAUGACGGCCUUCGGGUUGUAAACCGCUUUCGCCAGUGAAGAAGCGUGAGUGACGGUAAUGGGUAAAGAAGCACCGGCUAACUACGUG